CUACGGGUUGCUGCAGUGGGGAAUAUUGGAUAAUGGGGGAAACCCUGAUCCAGCAAUGCCGCGUGUGUGAAGAAGGCCUGCGGGUUGUAAAGCACUUUCGGUUGGGAGGACUGCUUCUAGCACUAAUAUUGUUGGAAGUUGACGUUACCUUCAGAAGAAGCACCGGCUAACUCCGUGCCAGCAGCCGCGGUAAUACGGAGGGUGCAUGCGUUAAGCGGAAUUACUGGGCGUAAAGCGCGCGUAGGCGGCUAGAUCAGUCGGGUGUGAAAGCCCCGGGCUUAACCUGGGAACUGCAUCCGAUACUGUCUAGCUUGAGUACAGGAGAGGAGAGUGGAAUUCCACAUGUAGCGGUGAAAUGCGUAGAUAUGUGGAGGAACACCAAUGGCGAAGGCAGCUCUCUGGCCUGAUACUGACGCUGAGGUGCGAAAGCGUGGGGAGCAAACAGGAUUAGAUACCCUCGUAGUC
rnacentral:rRNA from 1 species